rnacentral:lncRNA from 1 species
CGGCCACAUCCGGUAGUCCUCCGAGCCUCCGUCGCCCCACUUCUCCUCCUCCGCGUACGUGAACCCGAGAGACCCGAGUCUCACGCUUUCCAAGUCGGCAUUUUGCAGCCAGCCCCGGUACUGGUGCGAUCCUCCGCCGCCGCGCUCCUCCUCCUCCUCCCCCUCGUACUCUUCGUAUAUGAUCUCGAGCGGCCUGCUCCUCCGUCCGCAGCUGAUGAAAUCAUUGCUAAAGAUAACUUCUUGAUGGUAACAGGAGGAUUCCGCCUUGGUUUCCGGGCAGAGUGAGGUAAGCUCCUCCUCCCCGUCAUCGACGGUGGCAACAGCAGCGGGGCACUUGAGCGGCGGGGA